rnacentral:rRNA from 1 species
UGAUCCUGGCUCAGGAUGAACGCUAGCGGCAGGCCUAACACAUGCAAGUCGAGGGGUAACAGGAAAGCUUGCUUUCGCUGACGACCGGCGCACGGGUGCGUAACGCGUAUGCAACCUACCUCAUACUGGAGGAUAGCCCCUGGAAACGGGGAUUAAUACUCCAUAGUAUCACGAAUUCGCAUGUUUUUGUGAUUAAAGUUUUUCGGUAUGAGAUGGGCAUGCGUCCCAUUAGCUUGUUGGUGAGGUAACGGCUCACCAAGGCAACGAUGGGUAGGGGGCCUGAGAGGGUGGUCCCCCACACUGGUACUGAGACACGGACCAGACUCCUACGGGAGGCAGCAGUGAGGAAUAUUGGUCAAUGGAGGCAACUCUGAACCAGCCAUGCCGCGUGAAGGAUGACGGCCCUAUGGGUUGUAAACUUCUUUUAUAGAGGAAGAAACUUGUCUACGUGUAGACAACUGACGGUACUCUACGAAUAAGGAUCGGCUAACUCCGUGCCAGCAGCCGCGGUAAUACGGAGGAUCCAAGCGUUAUCCGGAUUCAUUGGGUUUAAAGGGUCCGUAGGCGGGUCUUUAAGUCAGUGGUGAAAGCCGACAGCUCAACUGUCGAACUGCCAUUGAUACUGGAGACCUUGAGUACAAAUGAAGUAGGCGGAAUGAGUCAUGUAGCGGUGAAAUGCAUAGAUAUGACUCAGAACACCGAUUGCGAAGGCAGCUUACUAACAUGUAACUGACGCUGAGGGACGAAAGCGUGGGGAGCGAACAGGAUUAGAUACCCUGGUAGU